rnacentral:misc_RNA from 1 species
ACGUAUCCACGUAUAAACCAUUGUGAACCGUUCUACUAACCUUUGUUCUCGGACAAGCCAGUUUUGCGAAUUAAACGUUACAAACAGCAAUAGUAAUUGAGCUGUUGUUUAGUUCGCCGCAGUCGGUGUAUUCUCUCCGGAGUUUCCUGAUCGCACUUGCUGAGAAUCAAAGUGUAUUCAAUUACUACUUAUUAACCAUUUUAACCAAUCUUUAUAACUUUAUGAACUAACUUUAUUUUAUACUCUUCGGAGAUAAAAUUCAUUACGAAACAAAGAACAACUCUUAGCAACGGAUAUCUUGGUUCU